rnacentral:tRNA from 1 species
ACCCAUAUUGUCUAAUGGUUAGGAUACCUGGCUCUCACCCAGGAGGCCCGGGUUCAAUUCCCGGUAUGGGAA